AUGGCCGACAUCGCGUACAGUUCAUGCUGCGUCAAUGAGGUUGGGGCAUCACGUGUCGUCAACUGCGCGCACACCCGCUUAAACCCAGAAGCUUCCAUGUUCGAAUCAAACUGCGCAGAUCACUCCAAACUUUCCACGAUGGAUUGCCCACCUGCUGCUAAUGUCGGAAUCCACAGGGUUUCCAUGGAGACAAGUUCCAGUGAUAGAUUCGCAGCUCUGAGUAGCAUUGGGGAGGAGUAUAUCUGCAAGGAUAAGCUCCCCCUCCUUCUAAAGAAGAAGCUCGCACCCAUUUGUUACGUUUGGUUUGAACCAUCUCACAUGAUGGACAUAGAGCAGCAGGGGAUUAUGAAGACGAUCUAUGUAAACAAGAUAGUCCAAGCUGGUUGCACUGUUAAAAUAUUGAUGGCAGAUUGGUUUCUGCAGCGACAUUUCAAGAUUGGCACUGACCUGAAUAAAAUACGGAACAUUGGCAACUACAAUAUUGAGAUGUGGAAAGCAACUGGUAUGAACCUUGACAAAGUAGAGGUUGUAUGGUUGUCAGAUGAAUUGAAUCGCCACGCGGUUAAUUACUGGCCACUUGCGGUUGAUGUCUCCAGAAAAUACAGCAUGGAAAAAAUGGCAAGUUAUUGUCGGAACAGGACAUAUGGGCCACAAGGACUACCUGCUGCUGAGAUUUUCUACCCUUGCAUGCAGGUUGCUGCUAUAUUAUGCCAGAAGGCUGACAUAUGGCUCUUCAGCAUGGAUCAGCGAGACAUUGUCAUGCUAGCUAGGGAUUACUCCGAAGAAAUAAAUAGGGAAACCAAACCAGCUAUCAUACUGCAUAAUACGUUACCUCUUUUACCAGAAGACCCUGACUUGAACUCGCUGAGAUAUCCAGCGCGGACUCUGUUCAUGGACGAUGCACAGGAGGCUUCAAAUAGGAAAAUAGAGUUGGCUUUCUGCCCACCAAAAGUAACAGUGUCUAACCCAUUUCUGGAGUACAUCAGAUAUGUUAUAUUCCCUUGGUUUGGAAACUUGGAGGUAGCUGACAAGAAAGGGAAUGGCAGUAGCAAGACAUAUGCAAGCAUGGAAGAUUUUGUUGUUGACUAUGGAAGUGGCAAUCUUGAUUCUGCUGAUGUUAAGCUGGCUUUUGAAAAAGGAGUAAACAGCAUAUUAAAGCCUGUUCAGGACCACUUCAUUAGCAACAGUGAAGCCCAAAAUCUAUAUUUCUCCUGUAAGUUGCAGGAUCAAAUUACUGCAGAUACACGGAAGAUUAUACUACAGAAUGAGGAGAUUGUCUGGGGUAGGUCGGAGCUGCCACUAUGA
rnacentral:rRNA from 1 species